UACGGAGGGUGCGAGCGUUGUCCGGAAUCAUUGGGCGUAAAGGGCGCGUAGGUGGCCUGCUAAGCGUGCGGUGAAAGUCGGGGGGCUCAACCCCCCGAUCGGCCGUGCGAACUGGGAGGCUUGAGCACUGUAGAGGCAGGCGGAAUUCCGGGUGUAGCGGUGGAAUGCGUAGAGAUCCGGAAGAACACCGGUGGCGAAGGCGGCCUGCUGGGCAGUUUGCUGACACUGAGGCGCGACAGCGUGGGGAGCAAACAGG
rnacentral:rRNA from 1 species